rnacentral:piRNA from 1 species
CACUGGAACAGGAUGGACGCUGCAAGUGG